rnacentral:rRNA from 1 species
UGUCACUAAGGCAAAAGGUGAAAGCGAGGCUGUCAAAGGCUUCGGCUCAAAGAGGGGUUCGCGUCCUAUCAGGUAGUUGGUGGGGUAAUGGCCUACCAAGCCAAUGACGGGUAGCUGGUCUUAGAGGAUGAUCAGCCACAGUGGGACUGAGACACGGCCCGCACCCCUACGGGGGGCAGCAGUGGGGAAUCGUGGGCAAUGGGCGCAAGCCUGACCCCGCAAUGCCGCGUGAGGGAAGAAGCCCUUCGGGGUGUAAACCUCUGUCAGAUGGGAAGAUGGGACUAGAGGCUAAUACCUCCUAGUCUUGACGGUACCAUCAGAGGAAGGGACGGCUAACUACGUGCCAGCAGCCGCGGUAAUACGUAGGUCCCGAGCGUUGCGCGAUGUUACUGGGCGUAAAGCGUCCGUAGCUGGUUUCGUAAGCGGAUUGUCAAAGCCCGAAGCUCAACUUCGGCAAGGCAUUCCGAACUGCGUUACUUGAGUCCUGUUCAGGUAGGCGGAAGUCCCGGUGUAGCGGUGAAAUGCGUAGAUAUCGGGAGGAACACCAGUGGCGAAGGCGGCCUACUGGGACGGUACUGACGGUCAUGGACGAAAGCUGGGGGAGCAAACCGGAUUAGAUACCCGGGUAGUCCCAGCCGUAAACGAUGGAUGUUAGGUGUAGUGAUAACUUCGCUGCACCCCAGCUAACGCGUUAAACAUCCCGCCUGGGGAGUACGGCGCAAGCCUGAAACUCAAAGGAAUUGGCGGGGGCCCGCACAACCGGUGGAGCGUCUGGUUUAAUUCGAUGCUAACCGAAAAACCUUACCAGGGUUUGAAAUGGUAGGAAAGGCUGUCGAAAGAUAGCCGUGUUUCCCUUUCGGGAGAAAUCCUACCACAGGUGGUGCAUGGCCGUCGUCAGCUCGUGUUGUGAGAUGUUGGGUUAAGUCCCGCAACGAGCGCAACCCUUGUCCUUAUUUGCUUCCUCGUAUGAGGUGCUCUAUAAGGAGACUGCCGGCGACAAGCCGGAGGAAGGAGGGGACGACGUCAGGUCAGUACGCCCUUUAUGCUCUGGGCUACACAGGCGCUACAGUGGCAAGGACAAUGAGUAGC